rnacentral:pre_miRNA from 10 species
CGCAUGUAAAUCUUGUUAAAUGCGGACUCUGACUCAGGAGGUCCAGAGAUUCUGCAUUUCUAACAAGCACCCAGCUGUUG